rnacentral:tRNA from 6 species
GGAAGGAUGGCUGAGCCGGCUGAAAGCACCCGCCUGGAAAGUGGGUCGACCUCACAAGGGUCGCGGGGGUUCGAAUCCCUCUCCUUCCG